GGGGGUGUGGUGGAACUGGUAGACACGCUGGACUCAAAAUCCAGUGGCAGCGAUGCCUUGCGAGUUCGAGUCUCGCCGCCCCUACCA
rnacentral:tRNA from 1 species